ACUACAGAUUCCAACUAUAACCCCCGGGAGCUCCGAGAGCAGAGGUCCCAGGAAGAAAGGGGAAAAAGCGUCCUUUCCCCUCUUUUUAUAUCAACCUCGUACCUCCGGCUUGCCCUACCUGGCUCACCUCCCACCAGCCACACACGCAGAAUAGCUGCAGAAAACCCGUUAGCAAUUCUGAGAUCAGGAACUAUACAGAAAAUAUAAUAUUUUAAAAAUCGAACACUUCCUCCUACUCCCAAUCCCAUUCCCCAAAGGAUUAUGACUUAUCAGUGAGUUAUGAAAUCAAUUUAGUGGAUCAUGACCAGCAUUUUGAAAAAAGAAAUGAACUAGAAUCCACUAGGAAAUAUCAGAGUACAUUGCACAACAUGAAGCCUAAACUAAGGUCUGAUAUAGAAUCAUCUCUCUGUUAUUCUUGAAUGAACCAAUGAACGUGGUGGCCUAGAGUGCGAGGGAAAGCAGUGGAAGGAGACCAGCAUCAGCACGUCCUGUGCCUUACUGUGGGAACAGGGUUGGAGAGGAAAAUGCUCUGACACAGAAUUGAAGGCUGGGCAGAGCCUGCGAGAGGGAGCCCGGAGGGACCUUGAGUGACAUCUAGUGGAUUCUUUGACCAACUGGGAGAUACCAGCCUGAGGAGCUCUCCCAUUAGCUCCCAAGGUGACUACUGUGCACAACAUGUCAUACAGGAUCCGUGUAGAACAGGGAUCCCUGCCGUCUAGUGUCCCGGCGCUUGAGGAUAGAACCGGCGGACGUUAUUUAAUAUUAAAGGAAAAUCAGUGUGAUGGCAUGCCACGCUCUCUCCAGCUAGCAUGAAGAGAACAUAAGCCAAUAAGGCUGAAAAGGUGCCACCUUUGUGUUUACAUGCCAUGAACUUUGUGUUGACAGCAGAGAAGAGCCAUAGAAGGCUUUUAAAGAGUAGAGAAGUGAUCGUCUGCAUAUUUUAUAGAGACCGCCAUGAUGAUGGUGGAGCAUAGGCUGGGAGAUGGAGUGAAUAUAAAGACCUGUUUCAGAACCUUGUGAUAACCCAGAGGGUUAUGUGAACCUUGGAGAACUUUCCACAUCACUACAAACUGAGCGACCUCAUUCUCCCUAAGAUCUGCAUCACCUUGGGCAGGCAUCGGCUCUGUGGUUGACUGCAAAGCUCAGGCCCUUGGGGAGGAUCUGCAGGAGAGGUGGCUUCUCCUUAGGAGGAAGUUGAUCAGUGCUUUCUAGAGUCUUCUCAAAUUUGCGGAGCUCUUAAAAUAUAUAUAUUUUUGGGAAGGGAAGAUUUUCCCUAAAUUGCGGUCGUUGCCUGCUGUAUGAAAAUGCCUCAGUAGAGGCCUUUUCUUUUCAAUUUCUUCAGCAUCCUCUUUCCCUAGGAGCUAAUCAGAAUGACUGUCUAUAAGUUACACCAUGCAUGGUAACGCUAACAUAACACCGUAGGCCAUCACUCCUCCCAGGUAAUUUCAGAAAGCCUGUGUAAAUUGCAAGAAAACUACACAUUGGCGAAGAACUUCAGGUACAUCCUAGCUCUGAAAUCCUUUUUAUUCAUUUGAGUAUAGGCCUCAGGAACAUCUAGGGGACCUUGGAAGGGGAGGUUUACCUGAACGUGUCCUCAGUGGGAACAUAGGGAAGAGUGGGCACGUCUCAGCGCAAUGGUUUUGAGAGCGAAUCUGUGACUUCACAAAGACAACAGGACUGGAGUAAGCAUGCAAUUUGAUUUCUCAAUUAAACUAGCAUGCAGUUUCCCGCUGUGGAAGAGGGGUUCCCCUCUGACUUGUUGAACCGUUUCAUCAUCCUCUCCCCGGAGGCAAGUGUCAAGGUGGAGAGGGAGCAUUCCUCCAGUCUGGCUCUGUCGGAGUGAUGCUUUGUAAGUCAUAUCUAACUGGGAGCCAGUCUCCUUAUCCAUGAAAUGAGGUGAGGAAAUUAGAUGAUUUUUAAGGUCCUUCCUGGCUUUAAAAUUCUAGCUGUUAUGACUCUGACCAUCAUGAACCAUAUAGGAAUUAAACACACACACACACACACACACACACACACACAACUGAAUUUGGUUUUUUGGAAAAUAGAUGAUGGAAUCCCAUUACCCAGCUGGGUGGUGCUUCCUAUUUAAACUGUUGUUUUCCUGACUUGCGUAGCUCUUUUCCUUUCAAACCAUGCUGGGCGUCUGUGCAUUUAGAGCACAUGACAUUGAUGGCUUGAGCUUUCUUUCUUCCACAAUUGCCACCAUUCUGUCACUUAUCUCACUGGGAUGUUGUCCAACUUAAUGCACCAUAAUAAUAAUUAUGUCUUAUAUGCAUAUAAGCUUUAACAGUGCACUGAGAAUGGUGCCCAUGAGUUUUUCAGGAAGAGAUUGUCAGGAUUUGAAUUCUGCCUUAUAGCCGCUAGGGACUUGGUUGCAAAUAGAAAUUGUUUCUGGUUAACUUAAGCAGAGAAGGAAUCUAUGUGAGGAACAGUGGAUAAUUGAUAGAAUCGUGGGCAUGUGGGAGGCCCCGGAUGGGGCAAGGCACAGUCAAGAGGCUGCCUUCAGAGCCACCAACUUUAGAGAGGUGCUUGUCACUGCCUUCCAUGGCCACCUCAUACAAUCCCUAACUGACCUUGUGCCUUGGCUAGUCUCCCUAAGGGUCAAUGUUUUUAAGCAACCAGAGAGUGGCAAAAGGGAAUAUCUUCCCCUUCAGCUUGCUUUCCACAGUGGGCCAUGAAACCUUCCUCUACUUAGCUCAAUGCCCCCCACAAGUGAGAAGUACAGUGCAUCUGCAGCUGGGCACUCACAUACCAAGGAAAAGAACCUCAAUUCUUACCUGGUAUCAUGCAUAAAAAUUAACUCGAGUAGGACUAUAGACCUCAAUAUAAGAUUGAAAACUACCCAACUUCUAGAAGAAAACAUAGAAUAAGUAUAAAGCAACCAGAAUGACAAAUGUCCACCACAUGGUUCCACCACCUACCGUAGCUGUGUGACCUUGGUAAAGUGACCUUGGAUGAUCCCGACUCCUGAGGCAGCUGUGUGGAUUCCGUGGGAACUAGCAUAAAACCCUCGGCCCAGGGUUCUCCUGAGCCUAACCUGAGCUUGGACAUUCCUGGAUUCCUGGGCAUGUCUAUGCCUCCAAGUGUCUCUUGGCAUGGGGGUGGGGGGAGGGAUCUGAGAGGGGAUAGAUAAUUUCCCCCUUCCCCCACAGCCAUAAACUGCAUGAGGGACAGAUCAUUUUGACACCUGCUGGUUUUGCACCUUUGAGAGCCUGAGAUUCAGCUUCUGCUGAUGGAUAUGGUUAGCUGCAGGCAGGGUCUUCUCAGGCACUGAUGUGAGAGAGGAGACUGUGUGGGGGUCCUCUAGGUGCUCUGAAAAUAUUUCCGGUGAAACGUAUCUGGGGAGAUGCCGGAGGCGCUCUGUCAGCAGGUGGGAGGCACGAGCUGGUGACAUCUGCUAAUGUGAAGCCAUUUGUCCCUCUGGUGCUGCGCCUGAGAGAAUUUGGGCUGCACGUACAUCCUCGCACUGGAUUCUCAUCACAUCCCUUUAAGGCUGGCAGAGCAAGUGCUAGUAGCCUCAU